UUAAUGACUCUCAGCAACGGAUAUCUCGGCUCUCGCAUCGAUGAAGAACGUAGCGAAAUGCGAUACUUGGUGUGAAUUGCAGAAUCCCGUGAACCAUCGAGUUUUUGAACGCAAGUUGCGCCCGAAGCCAUUCGGUUGAGGGCACGUCUGCCUGGGCGUCACGU
rnacentral:rRNA from 1 species